rnacentral:lncRNA from 1 species
UCCCGCCUUCUUCCGGUGGGUUCCUUACUGCUUGGGACCACCUGACUGUUUUUUGGAGUGUUGGAAUUUUUAUUUGCUUCGUGGAUUUCCUUCUUGGAUACUUGGAAUUUUAUUUCUGUUUACUCACGCGGGAUGAUUGAUUUGGCCGCGGAGUUCAUGGAUUUGCUUUGACAUUCAGCUUGAACUUCUUGAUGACUCUUCUUCCAGGAUCUCUUGGGGACCCACCUUGGGAACUUGGAAGGCAACUGUUCACCUUUGUGUACUAGGAAUAAACCCUUUAGCACUUUAUCUGGAGCUUCUGGAGGCACACCCCUGGGUUGCCAUGUGACUACGCACCAAACUAACUUGUGUUGGGUCGGGCAAUCCUCCAUGAUCUUUUCCUAUAGUCUUCCCUUGGGUGCGAGCCCCUGUGAAUACGAGGCAUGUCGGGAAACAUGAGGAGCGUGGGGUCUCAAUACUCAGAAGUGCCCAAGUAAUCGCUUCCGCAGACUCUGGAAGUAUACACCGGGUAUGUGUCGUGAAUUGUGGGUGUAGGAGCCGCUCCACCUGCAACUGGACACAUUGUGCCACCCUCCGAGAAGUCCUAGGGUAGCCAAAACUUUUAGCAACAGUGUAGUGCGAUAGGGGAAAGCCAUUUUUUUGUUUUGUUGGUCUUAGUCCAUGAAAAUUGGGGAAAACUAAAUAUAUCCACAAAAUGCAAAGGAAAUGCAUCAUGGAUCUGAUAGCCCACGGAAAGAGUUUCCCCAAUGAAAAUCCGAAAGGCAAUAAAAGAGGCAAAAUCUUAAGAAAAGUAUUUUUUGAGGAACCUUCCGUUGAUUGGGGGGCAUAGUUCGGACUCCUUGGGAAUCGACGAGCUGAUAUGCUCCCUCGUCGUAGACUUGCUCGAUGACGUAUGGUCCUUCCCACUUUGGCUCGAACUUACCCUUCGUAUUGUGCAUCACGACGAUGGGUCUCCUGAGCAAGAGGACCAUCUCGCCUUUUCGAAAGAUGCGUUGCUUGACGAGCUUGUCGUAGGCCCUCACCAUGUUCUGGCGGUAAAGCUCCAGGUUCUGUAGGGCAUGAAGUCUCCCAUUUUCAAGGGUGUCGAGCUCCUGAAACCCUAGUUGUACCUGUUCAUCUUGGGCGAUUAUGUUGUAGUCGACGUCGCGUGGCUUCGUUUUCUCUUGGACUUGCUCUUCGGGCUCCUCCGCUUGCAAAGGUGUCUUAUUUGUGGCGGACGGCUUCUGCACCCUUGUCGGCUAUAUCUUUAGAGGUUCGGGUAGGACCUUUCCCCCGCGCAGAUUCAUGUUCACCUCUUCGACUGGUGCUUCCUUCGUCGUUUCUUCAGCAUGGAGGACCGCCUGGUCUUCAGGAGUAAAGACAUCAUCAGAAGGUGUGUCACUGUAGUCGUGGAUGAUGUUGCAAUUCUCUAUGCUUGAUGAUUGGGAUGAACUUGCCCUUUCUUGUAAUUGCUCCAUUUCCUUCUUCGAUGUUUGCCCCCAAUCGGGUGGCAAGAACUGCGCCAAAGUGAGCAGCCCACGCCCCCGUCGAGGGAAAGACUCGUCUCCCUCUGACAUGGGGACGAAUCUUGGUGGAGGGCGGCGUUGACUUGGAUUUGAUAUACUAUCGUAUAACACAGAUGAGCCAUCCAUGGAUGUACGGUGAUUGACGCACAGCCGCUUACAGAGAAGGCGUGCAUUCUUUUCGAGAUGCAGCUGAUGCGAACAAGCAUGGUGGUGGCUAUAUGUUUUGUCCAUGUGUUGAAUGUCGGAAUGCGAAGGAUUACACUUCCUCAAGAGUCAUUCAGAGCCACAUGCUUCGGUCCGGUUUUAUGUCGGGCUAUAAUGUUUGGACCAAGCACGGAGAAAGAGGGGUUAUGAUGGAAGACGACGAUGAAGAAGAAGAGAACGAUGAUGACAACUACCGAUCUAUGUUCCCUGAGUAUGCUGAUACCGCAAUGGAAGACAAUGAAGAAGAAGAUCAGGAUGAAGAACGGGAACUAGAUGAGCCCGCCGAUGAUCUUGGCCGGGUCAUUUCUAAUGCACGGCGAGGUUGCGACACAGAAAAGGAGAGGUUGCAGUUCGAACAGAUGUUACAGGACCGCAACAAAUUGUUGUACCCAACUUGUGAAGAUGGCCAGAAGAAGCUGGGUAGUACACUGGAAUUGCUGAAGUGGAAGGGAGAGACCGGUGUGACUGACUCGUCAUUCGAAAAGUUGCUGGUACUGAUGAAGAAGAUGCUUCCAAGAAAAAAUGAAUUCCCGCCAGCACGUACGAAGCAAAGAAGCUUGUCUGCCCUCUAGGAUUAGACGUGCAGAAGAUACAUGCAUGCCCUAAUGACUGCAUCCUCUACCGCGGUGAGAAGUACGAGAAUAUGGAUAAAUGCCCGGUAUGCACUGCAUUGCGGUAUAAGAUCAGAAAAGAUGACCCUGGUGAUAUUGAGGGCGAGCCACCCAGGAAGAGGGUUCCUGCCAAGGUGAUGUGGUAUGCUCCUAUAAUACCACGGUUGAAACGUCUGUUCAGAAAUAAAGAUCAUGCGAAGUUGUUGCGAUGGCACAUGGAAGAUCGUAUGAAAGACGAUAAGUUGAGGCACACCGCUGAUGGUCGGCAGUGGAGAAAAAUCGAGAGAGAUUUCCCGAGAUUUGCAGCUGACGCAAGGAACUUAUGGUUAGGUCUAAGUACAGAUGGCAUGAAUCCUUUUGGGGAGCAGAGUUGUAGUCACAGCACCUGGCCCGUUACUCUAUGUAUGUACAACCUUCCUCCUUGGUUGUGCAUGAAGCGGAAGUUCAUUAUGAUGCCAGUACUUAUACAAGGUCCAAAGCAACCCGGCAACGAUAUUGAUGUGUACCUAAGGCCAUUAGCUGAUGAACUUUUACAGCUGUGGGCCGAACCAGGUGUACGUGUGUGGGACGAGCACAAACAAGAGGAAUUUGACCUUCGAGCGUUGCUUUUCGUAACCAUCAAUGAUUGGCCUACUCUUAGUAACAUUUCAGGACAGUCAAACAAGGGAUAUAAUGCAUGCACGCACUGUUUGGAUCAGACAGAAAGUAUAUAUAUGGACAAAUGUAGGAAGAAUGUGUACCCGUACAAUCGUCGUUUUCUUCCGCCCAAGCAUCCCUUAAAGAAAAAAAGGCAAGCAUUUCAGUGGCAAGGCAGAACCCCGGGGGAAGCCUGUCAUCCGUACUGGUGCUGAAGUAUUUGAUAUGGUCAAAGAUUUAAAAGUAAUCUUUGGAAAGGGUCCUGGCAGCCAACCUGUUCCUAACGGCCCUGAUAAGAGCGUACCCAUGUGGAAGAAGAAAUCUAUAUUUUGGGAGCUACCCUACUGGGAAGUCCAUGAGGUCCGCUCGGCAAUCGACGUGAUGCACCUGACGAAGAAUCUCUGCAUGAAUAUUCUAGGCUUCCUGGGCUUGUAUGGGAAGUCAAAAGAUACACCGGAAGCACGGGAGGACCAGGAACGUCAUAAAGGAAGAGAUGGCAUGCAUCCAGGGCAGUUUCAAGGGCGUGCCAGCUACGCUCUUACUAAGGAAGAGAAGGAAAUCUUCUUUGAAGUCCUUUUCAAUAUCAAGGUCCCGACUGGCUUCUCGUCGAAUAUAAAAGGAAUCGUAAAUAUGAAAGACAAAAAAUUCCAAAACCUAAAGUCUCAUGACUGCCACGUGCUUAUGACGCAAUUGCUUCCGGUUGCAUUGAGUGGAAUUCUACCGGAAAAUGUUCGCCUGGCAAUUGUGAAGAUAUGUGCAUUCCUCAAUGCAAUUUCUCAGAAGGUAAUCGAUCGAGAAAGUCUAUCAGGGUUACAGAUUGAUGUGGUCCAAUGUCUGGUCAGCUUUGAGUUGUUGUUCCUGCCAUCCUUCUUCAAUAUAAUGACACACCUCCUAGUUCACCUAGUCAAAGAGAUUAGAAUUCUCGGUCCUGUGUUUCUACACAAUAUGUUCCCCUUCGAGAGGUUCAUGGGAGUCUUAAAGAAAUAUGUUCGUAACCGUGCUAGGCCAGAAGGAAGCAUCUCCAAGGGCUAUGGAACAGAGGAGGUCAUUGAGUUUUGUGUGGACUUUCUUCCUGACCUUAAGCCGAUUGGUGUUCCUGAAUCUCGGUAUGAGGGUAGGCUGACAGGAAAAGGCACACUAGGAAGGAAAGCAAAAGUAUGUAUGGACGGGCAUUCUUUCUCUCAAGCACACUACACGGUUCUACACAAUUCCACCGUGUUGGCUCCGUAUAUCGUGAGACACAAGAAUAUUCUACACUCCGAAAACCCGGGGAAGGCUGACUCUUGGAUUAAAGGGGAACACGAGAAGACUUUCGGCAGUUGGUUGCAGACACAGCUCAUGAAUGACGACACCGUUGGAGAUGAGCUGUACUGUUUGGCCAGGCCACCAUCUUUGACUAUAUGUACUUUCCAAGGGUAUGAGAUAAAUGGGAAUACAUUUUACAUGGUUGCCCAAGAUAAAAAGAGCACCAACCAAAAUAGUGGUGUCCGCUUUGAUGCAACAGACGAGAAUGGGCACUGUUUGGAAACAUAUUACGGGUACAUAGAGGAGAUAUGGGAACUUGACUAUGGACCUACUUUUAAGAUCCCUUUGUUUCGGUGCAAAUGGGUGAAGCUGAAAGGAGGCGGGGUAGUUGUAGACCAAAAGUACGGCCUGACAACAGUGGAUCUCAACAAUCUUGCAUACAUGGACGAACCAUUUGUCCUAGCCAAUGAUGUCGCUCAGGUUUUCUAUGUGAAGGACAUGUCUACAAAAACGAGAAAAAGAAAUUAGCAAAAUAAGAUAUCGUCCGAUGAGCCAAAACGCCACAUAGUUCUUUCAGGGAAAAGAAACAUCGUGGGAGUAGAUGACAAGACAGACAUGUAAGAAGAUUAUAAUAAGUUUCAUGAAAUUCCGCACUUCAAAGUGAAAACUAACCGAAGCAUCCUACUGAAUGAUGAAGAUUCUCCAUGGCUACGACCCAGAAGAAAACAGAAAUAAUAGAUAGGAAUAUUUGUGCAAUAAUGUAAUAAUGUAUUAAACCUUUUAUGUAAUGCAUGUAUGGAAUGUACUAAAUUUCAAACACUUUUCAUUUUCAUAGUUUUAUCAAAUUCUCAAAUACGCAAAAAUAAUUUUAAUAAACCUUUGUAAGAGAUGAGUUCUCGUUCGAAACCGUGAUACUUCGAGAGAGAUUGUCCGUUUUGUACACGAAGUGCAUCCAGUUUUUGUCGUAGCCCUCUCAACUUUUUAACACAUGCUAUGUGGGUGAAAUGAUGAUAGCAUGCCUACUUUCAACAUUUUCAGAGUUCAUUUGUAGUGCUUUUCAAUUUCACGGUCAACUAGCUCAAAAAAAGUAAGUAAAUGCAUGAAGAAUACCAAAUGAAGUCAGAAAUUGUAGAAAUUUUGUGAUGUGCCUUUGAAUGGUGCAUUUUGAACAGACAAAAAGUAUAGAGUUCAAAUAAGUUCAAAAAAAUGAAAUCCCUUUGUAAGAGAUGAGUUCUCGUUCGAAACCCUGAUACUUCGAGAGAGAUUGUCCGUUUUGUACACGAAGUGCAUCCAGUUUUUGUCGUAGCCCUCUCAACUUUUUAACACAUGCUAUCUGGGUGAAAUGGUGAUAGCCUGCCAACUUUCAACAUUUUCAGUACAUCAUUUGUAGUGCUUUUCAAUUUCACGGUCAACUAGCUCAAAAAAAAAUAAGUAAAUGCAUGAAAUAUACCAAAUGAAGUCAGAAAUUGUUGAAAUUUUGUAAUGUGCCUUUCAAUGGUGCAUUUUGAACACAGAAAAAGUAUGGAGUUCAAAUAAGUUCAAAAAAAUGAAAUCCCUUUGUAAGAGAUGAGUUCUCGUUCGAAACCCUGAUACUUCGAGAGAGAUUGUCCGUUUUGUACACGAAGUGCAUCCAGUUUUUGUCGUAGCCCUCUCAACUUUUUAACACAUGCUAUGUGGGUGAAAUGAUGAUAGCAUGCCAACUUUCAACAUUUUCAGAGUUCAUUUGUAGUGCUUUUCAAUUUCAGGGUCAACUAGGAGAACAUAUGACCAAAUUAAUACAAGUUCAUCAUCACAUUAAAGCCAAAGAACAGUAGUGAUCAAAUGUUAUUAUUGCAAAAAUUAAAUACAUAAAGUUCUCUCAUAAAAGCACAUACAACUAUGUAAAACAUUUCAAUAAAACAAAAAAUGCGAUCAAAAUCACAACUAAGGUAACAAUUGACCCAACAGCAUAAUGAUACCAAGCCUCUUUAUCAUUGGCAUAUUUUCUAAUAUUCCUAAUCUUCAAGCGCAUUUCAUCCAUCUUCAAGCGCAUUGCAUCCAUCUUCAACCGCAUCGCAUCGAUCUUCAACUUGCGGUCAUCGAUGACAUCGGUGACAUGCAACUCCAGUUCCAUAUUCUUAUCCUCAAUUAUUUUCAAUUUUUUCUUCAAGUAUUUGUUUUCUUUUUCAACCAAAUUUAACUUCUCGACAAGAAUUUCUAUGUGAUUUGGAAUUUCCGGUUCACAUACCUCCUAGAUUAAAAAAUAUAUGUCACGUUGGUCGUCAUAAUUGUCAUAAACACUAAAUAAAACAAAUAGUUAUAAAAGAUAAUAUAUACCACAUCUGAAUCAUAGACAGGACAAGGGCCGACAGAGGCGGAUACCAAAACCAUCGCACUAUAUAAUAACAAAAAAUAAUGAAAGUGAGUAAUUUUUACAAGUAUGUAUCUAAAUCAUACAAGUAAGAAUUUUUUCUUUUAAAAAGAAGAUAAGAACAAGAGGCUCACCACGGUGGUGCUCGCGAUGAGAUCGGCACGGGGCGAUCGACAAUGGUGAGGACGGGCACGGGACGACACCCUACGCAUGUGCAGACUCUAAGAAAUUAAUUUGAGCAUUUGAAAUGAGCUACACUAGCAGUGACAAAUGAAAGGAUGAAGUAGCUAACCUUUUAAAACACUUGUGCAGUUGGUGCACGGCCAAACCUAGACAAAUAUUAAGGAAAAUGGAGCUUGGAGGUCGAGCUUGGAGAGGAGAAAGCUUAAGUAGAGUGGCUCGGGCAUUUCAUCGAACACGUCAUGUGCAUGAACUAGAGUGGCAAGAGCAUGGCAUGGUCACACUUCAACAACCAAAAAACAUGGGAUAUGGUGGGAAGGGGCGAGGGUUUAUAUAGGCAACACUUUAGUCCCNNNNNNNNNNNNNNNNNNNNNNNNNNNNNNNNNNNNNNNNNNNNNNNNNNNNNNNNNNNNNNNNNNNNNNNNNNNNNNNNNNNNNNNNNNNNNNNNNNNNAGUUAUUAUUAUAUUUCUUAGUUCAUGAUAAUCGUUUAUUAUCCAUGCUAUAAUUGUAUUGAUUGAAACACAAUACUUGUGUGGAUACAUAGACAAAACACUGUCCCUAGUAAGCCUCUAGUUGACUAGCUCGUUGAUCAAAAGAUGGUCAAGGUUUCCUGGCCAUAGGCAAGUGUUGUCACUUGAUAACGGGAUCACAUCAUUAGGAGAAUCAUGUGAUGGACUAGACCCAAACUAAUAGACGUAGCAUGUUGAUCGUGUCAUUUUGUUGCUACUGUUUUCUGCGUGUCAAGUAUUUGUUCCUAUGACCAUGAGAUCAUAUAACUCACUGACACCGGAGGAAUGCUUUGUGUGUAUCAAACGUCGCCAACGUAACUGGGUGACUAUAAAGAUGCUCUACAGGUAUCUCCGAAGGUGUUAGUUGAGUUAGUAUGGAUCGAGACUGGGAUUUGUCACUCCGUGUGACGGAGAGGUAUCUCGGGGCCCACUCGGUAAUACAACAUCACACACAAGCCUUGCAAGCACUGUGACUUAGUGUAAGUUGCGGGAUCUUGUAUUACGGAACGAGUAAAGAGACUUGCCAGUAAACGAGAUUGAAAUAGGUAUGCGGAUACUGACGAUCGAAUCUCGGGCAAGUAACAUACCGAAGGACAAAGGGAAUGACAUACGGGAUUAUAUGAAUCCUUGGCACUGAGGUUCAAACGAUAAGAUCUUCGUACAAUAUGUAGGAUUCAAUAUGGGCAUCCAGGUCCCGCUAUUGGAUAUUGACCGAGGAGUCACUCGGGUCAUGUCUACAUAGUUCUCGAACCCGCAGGGUCUGCACACUUAAGGUUCGACGAUGUUUUAUGCGUAUUUGAGUUAUAUGGUUGGUUACCGAAUGUUGUUCGGAGUCCCGGAUGGGAUCACGGACGUCACGAGGCUUUCCGGAAUGGUCCGGAGACGAAGAUUGAUAUAUAGGAUGACCUCAUUUGGUUACCGGAAAGUUUCCGGGCAUUACCGGAAAAGUUUCGGGCUCAUCGGUAGUGUACCGGGAGUGCCGGGAGGGGUGCCGGGGACCAUCGGGAGGGGUGUCACGCCCCAAGGGGUCUCAUGGGCUAUGGGAAGAGAUAAACCAGCCCCUAGUGGGCUGGAAUAAGUUCCCACUAAGGCCCAUAAGGUUUGAGAAGGAAAAAACACAAGGUGGAAAGAGUUUCCAAGUGGGAAGGUGGAAUCCUACUCCAAGUAGGAUUGGAGUAGGACUCCUCCACCUCCAAUUUCGGCCAAACCUUGAGGGUUUGAGGCUGCCUCUUCCCUCCCCCUCCCUCCUAUAUAUACUGAGGUAUUAGGGCUGAUUUGAGACGACUUUUCCACGGCAGCCCGACCACAUACCUCCACGGUUUUUCCUCUAGAUCGUGUUUCUGCGAAGCUCGGGCGGAGCCCUGCUGAGACAAGGUCAUCACCAACCUCCGGAGCGCCGUCACGCUGCCGGAGAACUCUUCUACCUCUCCGUCUCUCUUGCUGGAUCAAGAAGGCCGAGAUCAUCGUCGAGCUGUACGUGUGCUGAACGCGGAGGUGCCGUCCGUUCGGCACUAGAUCGUGGGACUGAUCGCGGGAUUGUUCGCGGGGCGGAUCGAGGGACGUGAGGACGUUCCACUACAUCAACCGCGUUCACUAACGCUUCCGCUGUACGAUCUACAAGGGUACGUAGAUCACUCAUCCCCUCUCGUAGAUGGACAUCACCAUGAUAGGUCUUCGUGCGCGUAGGAAAUUUUUUGUUUCCCAUGCGACGUUCCCCAACAGGCAGGUCCCCGCCUAGGACCUCGGCGACGAACCGUCCGCGGCUGCGAACCGAUCCAAGCCGGCUGGGGGCCUCGGGAAUCGGAGUAAGACCAUGUGCGGAGUUAUACUCACGAUGUGUAGCCUCCAACCGACAUUUUGCCGAGGCCACGGCGAUGCCCUCCUCCAAGAUACGCUUGUGAGCCUCCUCCAGCGAGGCACGAGCGUCUGCAGUGUCGGCGGAAGCGGCGACCGGUGUCUUCAGGCCGGCGAUGGCAUCCCGAAGAGUGUCGGCGGUGGCCGCAGCGGGCUCGCGAGCGCCUGCGAAGGCCUUGCCGGGAGCCGUGCUGGUGCCAGCACCGAUAACCAUCACCUCCACAGCGUUGGAGACGGCAGCGACAUGGUAUGGGGUGAAGAACCCCACCGACGGUAGAGGGCCGUCGAAGAUGAGGACGUUACUGGGGUAAACGUCGUGGGCAGGCGUCUCAACGAUAGAGAUCCUGCUGAAGCUGGCGCAGAGCGCCUCAACGUCGUAGUCCUCGCCGAAGUAGCAUGGGCUGUCGUUGAGGCGAAGAUCGCUGAAGAGAACGCUGAGGUUCUCCAUAGCAGCGACGACAACGCUAGGGAGCGCCUCGUCAUCGGAAUCUUCGUCCGAAUCCGCAUGGCGGACGGGGAUGUCGAUCAUCAUGGGCGUCGCCUUGUCGAAAGCGAGCUCCACGGGCAUGUGAACUGAUCCGGACGCGAUGCAUCCGAUGGUGUAGGUGCGGGGCCCCACCCAGCGCGUGAAGCCAGCCGAUGCCGCGAUCGGCCCCACGGUGGGCGCCAAAUGUCGGUGAAUACUCACAACAUAUGCCAUAGGUAGGCUAAAGUCGGUGAGAAUCGAAGGGACAAAGGUAGGCUCUGGGAACGAGGUUGGUACACGCAUGGGACGCACGAUGUACCCAGGUUCAGGGCUCUCCGUAGAGAUAACACCCCUAAUCCUGCUUGUGUGUUUGAUGUAUGGGAACAGAGUACAAUGUUGCUCCUCGAGCUGUGUUGGGAGGAGGAAGAGGGGAGCAGCCGGCUCGUCUCUAUCUCGCUCUUUGUUGGUUGCUGAGUGUGUGGUGUUGAAUGACUCGCCAGUGAUCGGCCCCCCUGCAUGGGGGGCGGCCGGGGGGUUUUAUAGACGAACCCGCCGACCUACAAUAUGAAUAAAGGGUACAAGUGUGGGACCCGGUUGGCUGCUUUGCCGGCUGGCCAGGGGCCCACAGGGGUCUUGUCUUGUCGAUGAGGGGCCCGCCGGUUGCAUGGUCUCGUUUACCUGUGGGACCCGCCGGCUGGCCAAUGGGGCUCCCGCGUAAGGUUGACGCUGAGCAUGCGAUGUACGUCAAGCGUCGCCCCGCGAGAUUCUUCAUGGGCAGGCAGUACGACCGCCUCCACUGUUCCCCACGCCGAGUGCAGUAAUGGAGUGGGAGUGUGACGGUCCGACAUCAGGCCAGGUGAUGGAUCAGAGCUGGGGUAGGUCAGCGGCGUGGCCGCCGAUGCUCGUACCUGUCGGGCGCCCCGAUCCAGUACCUUUGCUCACGCGUAGCUACCUUUAAUCGUGAGGUCCUUUCCUGACAUACGAUCCGAUGUGACUUGUGAUCCUCGGCCGGCUAGCCUGCUUGGUUAGCCGGCUCGCUCGUGGCCUCCUCCUACCCAGUCCGGCUGGCGGGACCAGGCCGGCUCUGAAGGGGAGGCCGCCUGUGCUCCAGCCGGUAGGGGGUGCCGGGCCGGCCAGAAAGGUGGCCGCCUCGUCUUCCAGCCGGCAGGCGAUGCCCAGCCGGUCAGAAGACUUGGGCCUUGGGAAGCUCCCUAUCUUCAUGUCCAUUGGGCCGGAAAUGAAAGAGCAGGCUUGAUGAGCCUACCGCGGGGUUAUCUCCGCGACACUAAUACUUGCAAAUAUUCUGUGGCUCCCCUUAUGUCGAAUCUAUAAAUUUGGGUUGAAUACUCUACCCUCGAAAACUGUUGCGAUCCCCUAUACUUGUGGGUUAUCAUCACUCCAACAUCAUACUCCAUCUGCGAAACAAGACGAUGGGAUGGUAAUUGAGAAGUCUUCUUUUGAAUAAUUCUUGUCAGCUACAUCUUUUGCAGAAAAGAAUGUUGUUCUCAUUGCCUUCAAAGAGUGUGAUGAUCUUUCUGUGUCCAUUGUCUUUCAGCGCAUUGUAUAGCUAAUGUUAGUACAACAGUUAAAAUUGAAGCAACGCUACUCCCACAGGUUACAAUAGUCACUCGGACUAAUCCCGUGUAUGUCAUUUUAGAAGUAAACACUAAGAACCAGCACACACCCACUUUUACCCCCGCGGGUCCGGAAUCACGCGGACUACGCUGCCAGGGAAAAACCAUAAGACGGGGAGGCCAACAUCCUCCAAUAGCAUGGGAUCACAUUUAUACCGCGCCCUACAAGGGGAGAGCUCUUUCCCUCUCGAUCCCAGACUGGAAACACCCAUGCCCCCUGACCGUACGAUUGGCUUUAUUCCAGGGCCAUGGAGACCUUCAUCUUGGCCCCUCUACUUGGUGUGUACCUGAUAAUAGGUUUGCGACCUACUAAACCGCAUUCCUUUUCGAGAAGACAUAUGUGGCAGCACGAAAGGGUAAGGUGACACACCGAAAAAACUCGAUCUACGGUCGACUUAGGAGGUUUAAGUUUCCCUGCAAGGGUUAGUAUCACAUAAUUUUUCUGAAUGAUAUACCUCAGUGUUACCAUCAUUACACCUCGAUAUGCCAUCACUAACCACUCUUGUCCCAUGAGAUGUUAGUCUCAUGGUGUCAUAUUUACUACGACAAACCUUCCUCCGAGGUUGUCAGAUCUAUCAUGGCAUACGAGGCAUGAGGUAGUACCCACUCACCAUCUGCAUCACAUAUUCCACAACACGAAAGUAUCCAUCACAUGCAUUUAUGCAAGUAUGAUUUUAUGUGGGAGGUGUUAUCAACAUAACGUAAUCACGCAUUCCAUUGCAUCGCAACAAACAUCACACACCUCAAUAGCAAUCAAAGUUCAAGAUGCUUUCCUUUGAAGUGAAGAAGGGUGGUGUGCACACCAAAAUCUUGAAAUAAUUCUCCCUCCAACAUUUCCUAUUUCUGAAAAUAUUCAAUUAACACACAACUCCAAAACAACACAUAAAAGUUGCUUGAUUUUUUUUGAAAUAAAUCUUAAAAUAAACUAGUUGAAAUUUGAGAGAGGUGGGAAAAAGAAUCAACUUAUUUGGAAUUUUAUUUUAAAAGUUAUGGGUAGUCAAGGUCAAUUUUGGUUUUUAAAACAAAAAGAGAAGGAAACGUUUUUGUAAGAAAUACGCUAACACAGCACGGGGGGCGCACUCACAGGCAUACAUUUCCCGAGGGGGAAAGCGCACUACAGGAGCAGGCACCAGCGGAGGCCAUGGCUGGCUCGCCGACAGGUGGGACCCACCUGUCGGGUUUGUCUCCCACCUCUCAUGCGCACGACAUAGAGAUGUGUUGGCGCUGAUGGCGAUUGCCGGUGCUAGGGGCGCCGUUCCCGAAGUUGAGUGCACCGGUGGGAUCAGGAGGAAGGGCCCCAUCCUCAGGGCAUCAAGUAGGUCGCCGGAGGGCUCUAAGGCGAACGUCUCUUCACCCAUGGCGGGCGGUGGCUCGGCGCACUUGCGAUCUCCCUACGGCUGGCUAUGGCUCAAGCGGGCAGGGGAAAUGGGCUCUAAGGGUUUUGGGGAGGCUAGCAAGGGCUGGGGUGGGACGGUUGGAGCUCGGGACUGGCUGAAUUUUGUUAGAGGCUAGCGACGGCGCUGCAGCCAGAGGGAAGAAGGGCGACCGGCUCCGGCCAAAUUGAGGCAAGGGAGAGAGGUUUGUAGGUCCAGGGAGCCUGCUGAGCUGGUCAAAGAGCUCGGGGCCUCCUUAUAUACCC